GGGUGUAGAUUCCGCCGAACUCUUAUUAACGGCUCUUGCGGGGUUAAUGGGGGAAGUUUGCUUUCGACUUCUUUUCAGAAAUGCUCGAACGAGCUUUCAUCUGCUGAAGGAGGAAUUUGAUGCACUUCUCGGACUCUUCAAUGGUGGUUUCAAAGUCGUGAGCAAUUACCCUUUUUCCUUGAAGUAAUUCAGCCAUGACUGUCGGGG
rnacentral:lncRNA from 1 species